GAAGAGGUGGGUGAAAUGAUCAUUCUAGAACAGUAUCUUCGCAUGCUUUCUCCUGAACUCCAGGUCUGGGUCCGGGAACGGGACCCUAGGACCGCAGCGGAUGCCGCGUCAUUAGCUGAUGUCUUUGUGGCUGCAAGAAAAAAGAAUCAACCGUGGAGUUGGACAACUGGUAGUGACUCCCGACGGGCCCCGUUCCAUCAGAAACCGGUGCCUGGGGCGGGUAAGUCUCCCAAGGGAGAUUUUCCAGAAGUUAGACGCCUUAAUUGAUCGAUUGGGCAAAGCCAAAUACCUGACGACCAUCGAUUUGUCCAAAGGGUAUUGGCAGAUACCAUUGACACAACAGGCCCGUCCUUUAACAGCAUUUAGGACACCAUGGGGGCUAUUCCAUUUCCGGGUUUUACCCUUUGGCCUGCAUGGGGCACCGGCUACCUUUCAGAGACUUAUUGACCAGGUGUUACAUGGGCUAACCUUUGCUGCAGCUUAUUUGGAUGACAUAGUCAUCUACAGUACUACCUGGGAGGAGCAUGUUCAACACCUUCAAGAGGUUCUACAGCGUCUGCAAGAAGCAGGCCUCACAGUGAAUCCUGCCAAGUGUGCUGUAGCCAGGACGGAAACAGAGUACCUGGGCUUUGUCAUUGGCAACGGGGUAGUGCGACCACAAGUCAAAAAGGUCCAGGCAUUAGAGGAAGCUCCCAUUCCUCAGACACGUAAGGAACUCAGGUCCUUUCUGGGAAUGGCGGGAUUUUUAUAAUCGUUUUAUCCCUCACUUUUUCUAGCAGGGCUGCCCUGUUGACAGAUAUGGUGGGGGUUCGAUGUCCAAAUCAAUGCCAGUGGUCAGAAGAAAGGAUGACGGCCUUUCGAGAUAUUCAAUCGGCGUUAAGAGAAAAUGCUGUGCUGUACAGUCCAGACUUUGAUCAAGAAUUUAUUGUGCAGACGGAUGCCUCUGAGAGGGGCAUAGGGGCUGUGUUGUUACAGGGACCACCUGGUGAGCGACGGCCUGUGGCUUUCAUUAGCCGCAAACUCUUUCCAAGGGAAGUCCGCUAUUCGACAAUAGAGAAGGAAUGUUUGGCAGUUAAAUGGGCCCUAGACUCCUUGAGAUAUUACCUACUUGGAAGGGAGUUCAAGUUGGAAACGGACCAUAAAGCUCUCCAGUGGCUGGAAAGGAUGAAAGAUACCAAUGGGAGGAUCACACGGUGGUAUCUGGCUAUGCAGCCUUUCCGGUUCACUGUCCAGCACGUUCCGGGCAAGUCCAAUGUGACCGCUGACUACUUCUCUCGUUGUAUCCACGAGAUGCCUGAAGGGAGGGGGUGUGUGAUGGCCGAACCUGUGGCCACACAUUGAUAAGGGUAACAUCAACGCAUUCAUUCACGAUACAUAUAUUCAUUUACAUACUGAUAGUUAUUUUCUUCCUUUUUAUUAUUCAUUUAUAUUUGAAUUUAUAGUAUAGGAUUUAAGGUUUAUGUAUAAGAAAAUCACUACACAGACUUUGUUUGACAAAUUGCAAAGCUUUAUUUAUACAUGUUAGUACUUCGUUCGUUGGUUUGGAGUGCACACUUACUGGCUUGCGUUGUACUAUUUCUGUUUCCUUAUCUUUGUUUCUAUUUGAGUUUAAGUUACCGUGGCAUGGAGGUUGGAUGAAUGGCGUUGACUCAGGUGUGCGUCUUUCCGUCAUCGCGGUCUUGACUGACAAAAGGCUGAGGCGCGUGCGGCAGUCAAUAUUUAUGGUCUGAGCAUUCCACUGGACGAUACCAACUGGAUGCUAUGUCAUGGGGGGGUGAAGAAAUGAAGUUAUAUUUCUGAUUGGUUCCAAUUUAUUUUUAGUAUUAAUAUUUGUUGUUUUGUAUUAUUAGAUUGUUUUGUUUGUUACUCUAUUUACUUUGAUUAGAUAACUUGUAACUAAUUUGUUGGUUUAUAAAGUGUUGAUUGUAUGUUUUCCCCUGUCUUGUUUAAGUGAGCUCACCGUCUGUGAUAAAUACCUGUCUGUUGUCUCAUUUAGGGGGUUAGUUUUGUUUUGUUCAGUUCUUCUUAAGUUUCGUUAUAUUGAAUUAAAACUUGUUUUGUUUACUUUAUUAAAGUCUAGCUAGAUUAUUUGUUAGAACAAGUUGAUUUAUUUUGUAACUGAGACCUUUUUCUUAUUUUUGAGUAAAAUAAAACCUUUUUUUUGUUGGCAAUCCUGUGUCCUCGUGUCUUACUACUUGGCGAUAUCCGACAAUAUGGAUUCGCGCUUAAUAGUCUGUGUGUUUCUCGUGGACUUGGGAUAGACUCUGUAGUGAUGGUUUGCAUCAGGACGACUUGUACUUUUGUCGAGAAGAUAUGCUGAGAUAUGUGACGGCAGCACUGGGGUUACCCAAAUAAAAGGCAGAAGUGGGGGCAAUUGAUGAUGUACCCAAAACCCAUUACCGCCAUACCAUUACCAUGUCUGAAGGUUAUAAUAUCAGCUGGCUGUUUCUAAUAAGUGUUUGCAGUUACCUUUCUGGUUGUUGACUGAUUAGCAGCGGAGGUGGUGGUCAGAUGGAUGCUGAUGGCUGCAGUUCUGUCACUGUCUGUCGUUUCUGGGCCGUCUCUGUCUACUCAGAGUAGGGAAUUGGGAGGAAUGAGCUGGGUAUAGCAGGUGAGAUGUGGCCCUGCGGUUUUGGCAUUUUGUCUAUGUUUAUCGUGUUCCCACGCUGUUCCUCCUCAUUGCCUCUCUGUAAGGCCCUCCCUGGUGGCCUUGUCACUCUAAUUAGGUGACAGACGGCAGCAAACAAUAUCCCUCAUUACUGCUGACAUGGGCGACUCUCAUAGUCACACACAAUUGUUAUCCCUUCUUAUAUACACAAACACAGACACGCAUACACAUACACAGAAGAGGCUAAAACAAAUAUAUGCACUAUGACAAGCAUCAAUCUUGUGUAAUGUCUCACUUGUUCUCAUCCUCAAACAAUUGCUGCAGAAGCCGAGACAUGUCCUUAGUCAGGGUUAAGCAAAUGUUGGAAUAGCUGCCUAUUAUUUUGGUACGCACCUCAAAAUAAAUGUGAUAGUAAUGCUGGUUGUUCUUCAGUCACUAUGGUGAUUGGCAGUAUCGCAGGUAUUGUGGUGUCUGUGGAAUUUCAGGAAGCUAUUUUUUUUUCGUCACACACAUUGAAGGAAUAGGUCAACCAAAAAUAAAAAUCUGAACUUUUAUUCAUCCUCAUGUUCUUCUAAACCUGUAGGAUUUCUUUUUAUCAUAUGACAUGUAAAAGAAGAUGAUUGUCCAGGCUGCUCUUUUACAUGCAAUGAAACUCGGUUGUAACUUAUUAAGUGAUAGUAACAGUCAAACCCCAAAAAAGUAAAUAAAUAAAAAAAUAAUAAUAAUAAAAAAAAACAUUUAAUAUAUAUAUAUAUAUAUAUAUAUAUAUAUAUAUAUAUAUAUAUAUAUAUAUAUAUAUAUACACACACACACACACACACACACACACACACACACACACACACACACACAUAUAUAAACUAUAUUAAGUAUUUUAAAGACACAAAAUAACUUGUGAUAAAUAUGAGCCAUUAAGUGUUGAAAAUCUCACCCUUCGCUACAGCUAUCAAAUCUUAUUUGUACCUGCAUUAAGUUAAAUACAUUCAAGCAUCCUAAAUCACGUCACAAGAUAUGUGUCACAAUGAUGUUGUGUGAAGCAUGACAAUUUUUAAUGCGUCAUGAUUAAAUUACCACAAGUGUGAAUCAAAGGGUUAUUUGAGGGUGCAUGAGUAUAAAGUAAAUAAGUG
ensembl:lncRNA